UCCUUGUUUAAUGUAUUGUGCUUAACAGAUGGGUUCAGUGCCUCUGCCUGGGAGAGAAGGUAACCUGCGGUAUGAAGCCACUGGAAUGAAGGACAGCAAGUCCCAGCAACGCCGGAGGCCGGCUGCUGGAAGGAAGCAGAGGUGGAUAGGCCGGUCAGCACCCCAAAAAUCCGGCUGACAGUCGCACGAUCCCCUCAAACACUCCCAGCUCCGAUCAGAGCCAGCUUGCCGGCACAUCAGGGUUUUCUCCUAAGAUCUUGGACUUCAUCGUGAAAAAUUUGUUUUACUUUGGUCAUUGAAAAUCAAUCCAGUUGACUUUAGAGAGGCUCUGACCCAGGAGAGAAAAGGAUGGAGUUCUUUUGCUGGCCUAAACCAGGCUCUCAGGAGAGAGAGAGCAAAUAUGAGAAAAGUGAAGAGCAGUAAGGAGGUGAUUCCCUGUGUCAUACCAAGUAACUCCAUGACACUUAGUGUCUUUAGUCUACUUCAGUGACUCCAGGCUACUUUGGAUAUUACCAGACUUUCAGGUACAUGCAGAGUCGUUUCAGGUACUGGAUCCAUCCCAGCAGCUCUCAGCAUUUGCCUUUCAAAUCCCAGAUACUAUUCAUGGCAUCUCUCGCUCAUCUGUGCCACAGUCAGUAUCUCAUGUGAGGGGUCUGUCACCCUUCCUGACGGACUAACCUUGCUGUGGCUGCCUGAACACAGCUGCCUGCUGUGCUGCUGUUCCAAGCAAGAGGCAAAAACAAUCCCAUGUUGUGCUAGAGAUGACACAUCCACCACUGCUGCCACCAAUGCCAACCUUGUCAGCUGCACUUGGUCCUAGACCUUAGCCAGGCUGUUGGAAACCACACUAGCAAGAUGAGAUCUGCCAUUUCCCGGCAGUGUUAGGCACACAUUGCAAGCAUUAGGGAGCCAUCCCUGUCCCUCUGCAGGGGCCCAUUGUUAGCCAUUUCAUGGUGAAAACUCUCUUUAUAGCACCGUGCCAAAAUACAGCAUAGGCACUGGAGUAUCUGUAUAUCCUUUCCUGGAUUCCUACCCCCAUGUGUUUUUCACUUUCUGGACACUGAUAGUGCCAGAGUCCCAGUCUGGAAUUUAUCUAAUGAAAAUUUAAAUGCCCAGAUGUCAUAUCUCGGUUAUUCUCCCUUUCUAACUUGUGGAGAACAACAUUGUGUUGUUUUGCUUUUUUCAUCUUAGCUUUCUGGAGUGUUUACUGUGGACAUCUACUUAUAACUGUAUCAAAGUUCACAAAAAUAAGCAAUGUGAGGGCUAUAUCUUUUGAACUGCAGAAAGGGAGGAAGGUUCAGCAACUAAUAACAGCAGAGUUCAGGGCAAAACUUUCUUCUUUGUGUUUUCCCCCAUACUUCCUAGCAGUUCCCUAGCCAACUUCAAGCUAAAACAUAUUUGAUUUGUAUGAGAAAAUACAUAUCAUAUGAGACAAUACACCAUUUUUAGGAAUAUGAUUUCUAGAUGACUGCAGUACAUGAGUUCUGCAAGUCAUCACGAAGUCCAAGCUCAUUCAAAUACAAUACUUACACUUAUAUAUACAUAGGUGUGUGUGUCAUAUUUAUUACAUAAAAGCUGUUCUAGACAAUUUGGAAAAGGUUGUAUUCUACUCUUUUGGGAUUUUAGUAUAAUUCUCAUUUAAAACAAAACAUAAAUAUAGCUGGUUUAAGAGAGAGAAAACGCCCCAAGAUAGUCUAACCUUCCUUUCUAAACUCUCAAGGCUUACUGAUAGAAAGGUGAGGUCCAACCCUACAAGGGAAAGGAAAUAAUUCUAUCUCUAGCCAAACUCCAUUCUCAUUGAUAACAAACCCACUCUGAUUUGAAAUACUGACAUGUAUAGGAAAGCUGUUUGUGGCUUGGGAUGUAAGUUAGUCAAUGUAGAUCUUUCUCCAAAGAAAAUGUGUAAAAGAGAAAAGCAAAAUACUUUUGGAAAAAAGACUAAUUUUAAAAAUUGACAGCUGGUUGAAUCAACUGUAAGUCAGUUCAAGAAAUACCAACAGUCCUAGAGCAAGCAAAUUAUUGCUUGCAAAUGCAUGCUAAAUUAAUUUAUAUUUUGUCAUUAUGAUUUAUUAUAGAGAUUUUAUGUUUCCAGGGAUGACAUAGCAAAAAUAGAAGAAGGCCAAUGCUGAUGACAAAGACUCUUAGACAUGGAAAAAUACUGUUAUGAAGAUAGAUGAACACUGUGCUUUAAACCAGAAAUAAAUAUGAGGAGAUGGAAUAAAUGUACACAGAAAAAGACUGGAAAGGUGGAUAGAACUAAUGGAAUUGAUUCUUCUCAUCAGAUAUAAACACAGAAGCAUCCAUUUAGACAAAGGAUAAUGCAUUUAUAACUGAAAAAGGAAAUAGAUGUUUUUCAACAGUGUAAUUGCACACUGUGCAAAUUAAUUUCUGAAGAAUAUCUCUGAAGUUGUAUUAAUGAAACAGGAACUUCAUGAGGAUAAUAAGUACAUCAGGUAGCACAAGUAAGCCCAAAAAAGCUAAUGGUAUUAGGCUCAGAUUUCAAGUGUUAUGCUAAUUUUCACAAGCUAGAUUUUAAUAAAAUGAAAAUAUAUUCCAUUAUUUUCCACUGCAGGAUUUCUUGCUGUGAUGUACAUCAAAUUGGCACUGACCUUUAUGGGAAAUAGAAUAUUACAUAAAGCACACCACUACCUAACCUCUCUGAUCUUUCAUCCCUUUUCUUUUUCAUAAAUAUUUUCAAAAAUUUUUCCUGGACACAAAAGAGUUAAAAUAAAAUGACCUGAAACAGUUUUGUUCUCUGUAAUAUCUACACUGGAUUGAAGUGCUCUCAGAAGAUUGCAAGUAUUAAAAUUUCAUUGUCUGCAGGAAACAAAUGUUAUAAACCAAAGUGGGUGAAAUUCUCCAUUUGUUGAGGUAUGCUAUGUUUUGUAUUAGGUCAAUCACUAACUGUUUUUCAAGAAAUCUAGUGCAUUUAUAACCUUUAAUUACCAAAAUCUAACGAAAAUGAAAAAUUUUGAGAUUAACUUUUGAAUAUUUAAGCCACAGAGUAUGUGGUUCAACUCAUAAGAAUACUCUCAUGAGUUUGCCCAGACUUGCUCAAGAAGAGUUUAUGUAAUCAGCCAUGCAUCACCCUCUAGAAUAUUCAGUGAUGUGUUUUGCAGUAAGAGUUAAACCUAAUGAAGCCUUCCCAGCAUUUUCUUUAAGUCAUCAGUAAAACUUUGAUUGAAGAUUCAGGCUUUCUCUGUCUGGUGAACUGGCAAUCUCAGACUGAGAUAUUUUCAUGCAUAUACCAGCACUCCACACAGGAAAAGAUCUCCAGGUGGGGUCGUUUGUUUUGUAGUUCCACAGUUAUCUGAGGAAAACAAUGUGUGCUGGGGGAAAAUGGGGGACUGAUUUUCUCCCACCCAGCUAUCUACCAGAGCAGCAGCUCUGACCUCAAGUGACAUCUCUGGACCACAGGAGUCUGCUGGGCUAUAGCAGACAUGGCCUCAGUUUUCUUUGGAGAUCCAAUUCUUACCUGGAGUUUUGAUCCAAAUGUACAGCAUCAGGGCACUGAAGAGCACAAGACUCACCUCCAAGUUCUCUUCUUGCUCCGAGCAUUGUAAGGCCAUUAGUCACAAAAAAAACUCCAAAAAGGUGGACAGCAAAAAUAGAUUGGUGAAGAAAAAUAUGACAGAAACAUUCCAGUUCAGUGCUUGUUCUGCUGGUUAACAUCAGCAGUGGGAAGACAACAAAGGCAACUACUCAGUGUGAAGGGGGAAUCUCAAGGCACAGGCAUAUGACUCUCCUGGGACCAAUUAUUCCUCAAGUAUUUCUCAGCGAUGCAGUGAGCACAUAAGCUCUCACUAGGCCCUGCAGAAAGGAGCAAAAAAAAAUUUAAUUAAGUCCUGUUUAAACCAUGUUAGCUGUUCUUCUCCCUUUUAGAGCCAGGUGCUAGCCCAACCAUAACCAGCCCUUCAAGCCCUUUGAGCAGAAGGGGCUGGAGGAAAAAAAUACAAGAACAAGUGAUUCCAGAGGAGAAAGAAGGAUUAAAAGGAAAAUGUGUGUGUCAGACUCAAAAGUAGAUUGAUGGGCACUGGAGGAGGGCAGCCCUCAACAACAUCAGUCACUCCUGGAAUGUGUCCAGGGAAGCCAUGGUUUUUGCCCACCAGUGCUCUCUUUGUCAGCAUGAGAAGAUGAGGGACUGGAAGAAGAUGAUGGAGUUGGCAGGAUACCCUCAUUGAGUUUGUGUCUCAUGGUGGUGUGAAAGGCCACUUUGGCUGUGACCAGGAGGAGACUGAUGAAUAGGUCUCAUGUUUACUGCCCAUUGUGUUAUAAACAUCUCAAGUGAUCAUUAAUGAAAAUGUGUUGGAAGAAUAAAUGCUCUUUAAUCUAGGCAAAAAUGCAAUACUGUUCUGCAGUGAGCAAGCCUGCUUUUUUAUAUGUCAUGUAUGAUUUAAGACAGAAUUUUGUUUAUUUGUAAUUUCUAUUCUUCCCUGACAUUUAAAAUGUUCUUUAUUUGUUGUACUAAUAAUGGGCUUCAGAUGUGAGAAAACAAAUUACAUACUUCCUUUGUAGUGCAACUUCAGUGCAAUGAUCUGAAAGUACUCACUUACAUAUUAGUGAAUUAAUCCUGACAACGUAUUAGUCAAAAUACAUCUUCAUAGCUGAAAACUCCAGUUUACCUUUUUUUGCCUCUUUUUAAAGUUUGCUAUUACUGGAAUAAAACAACAAAUCGUGAUUCAUAGUAAAGCGCUAUGUAUGCUUGAAGCCAAAAUACACAGAUUUUCUAGCGAGCACUGUCAGAUCUUUUACUAAACAAGCAGCAACAUCCUGACUUCACGUUCUUGCUGUUUAUCCACUAGCCCACUUUCUUUUCCAAUUCCACAUCUACACUAACAAGAACUGUUGAAGAACUGUCACCAAGUAGUCACGGAUUGUGUAUCUACAAAUACAUUUUUUCAAGUAAUCAAAACCCCAAAAUAUUCUCCUCUGAGUGAUACAACCUUUCCAAAGCCAGAGAAGCUUUUAUCAAGCCUACAGAAGAAUAGGAACAUAGAUGUUGCCUCAUUUAUAUAUUUCUUAACAAUUUUCCAGUUCUAUAAUGCCCUGUUCUCUCCAAGCAAUGGUCCUAUUUUGGUUUUAUUUUCUAUUGCUUUGCAUUGAUCAAUGUGAUAUGAAAACUUCACAUCUGAGAAAGACUCCUUAUUUUCUCCACUGCUAGCCCAAAUCACAGGCAGGCAGUCAUUGCCUCACAUAAAUCGUGCAGACACCUAAAUACAAUGUUUCUGUCCACAGAGAAAGACUGAAUAUCUUCAUGCUGGAGAGAAGGGAAGGUGUAAGGAUGUUUAUCAUGCAGCUGUAGCAAUAGCCAGGUUUGUGAGGAACACAGAAAAGAUGCAAAACAGGGAAUGAGAAGCAAUAUUGCUAAAAGACAAACAUCCUUCUGGAACAGUGAAGGGAUAUUUGUUUCAGUAUGGCUGAAUCAGACCAAAAGUCCACUUGCUCCAGCAUCCUGUCUCUGACAAUGAUGUCUAAGAAAAGAAACAAGGCAUGGAGUAAAACCAUGGUGUGGUACUUCCCAUGGCAUGUCCUGUCAGCAUCAGCUUCCUAUUCUAUAGACUAUGUCAGCAUCUUUGGUUUUGAAAAGCCUGAUGAACUUCUAUUCCAUGAGUUUUCACUAUGGAUUCAACUUUUCUCCAUAAAAUGUAUUUACUUUUCUUUUUUUUCUUUUUCUUUUUAACUGUAAUGAGAAAGAAAAUCACACACAAAAAAAAGUUCACUUUUAUGCAGCAGAAGUUAGGAAUGUUAAUAGCAUGAUGGAAAUCUUUAUGUGGGUCACCUGGUCAUAUUCCUAUGGGUGGAACAGUGCCAUCCACUGCAAAAAGUCCCCCUAAAUGCCACUGCAGAACAGCCCUGUGCCCAUCUGAGCAGCCACUUACUUUCUACCCAUCUCUGCUCACAGCCAGGGUGCCCAGCACUCAAGUGUGCUUCUGCUCAAGCAUAGACCUUCAGGGGAUGAUGGAAUUUACAGUAAUUUAACUUUCUCUUGCUGGCAAAGGAUAAAGGUCAAGACCAAACAGCCCAUUCAGCAUUUCAAGUGUUAUUGUUAUUAUAUGAUACAGACACAUAAUCUCCUGCCCUUUCAAAUGUUUGGCAAUCUAUAAUGUGUGACUGUGAGAAUGCCAGUGGAGCCCAGAAUCUGAAAAAUGUACUUGGUUUCUGUUGUAAGGAAAUAUAGGAUUAUACAUAGUAUAGAAGCAUGCUGUGGAUAAGGCAAUCAAAGACAUUGAGAAAAUUAAAAGAUUGAACAGCAUUGGAAAAAGUAUAAAUACUAGCUAAGCAACAAAACUGUCCCAAAUGCCUAACAGAUGGAGUUAGAGUUAUGGUUCAUGAAAUUGUGAGCAUAUAUUUUCCAUAGAAUUCUGUAGAAAAAACUUGUUAUUCCUGAAAGUUGAAAAUUUAAAAUAACUUUAAUGCAAGAUAUUGUCAUCUCAAUAAAACUGCAAGUGAAUCUCAUUCAGAACAAAACAUUUUGCAAUUAAGGAUUUUGCUUACUGUACCGUGGAAGUCUUUAAA